UCCAACGCAAACUUUUAUUUGUUUCAGGAUGCGUGUUCCCGAGCAGCGACAGAGUCUCUGGGCAGCCUUUACAGGAAUGAAAUGCCCCUCAUCAAGAAUGUUGCAGGGCUUGGCCUCAUUCCAAAUUGCAGACCAAUGCAGUUAGGUGUCAAGCUCUUCAUCCACCAGUUCUCCGUGUGCUGGGCUGUGGAAGGCCUCUGUCCUAGGAAUGAGGUGCAUGUUUGAACAUGUAACCCUGACUUGUCCUGCCUCAAAGUAGGAAAGAGUUAUGAACUUGGGCUGUAGGAGAAACGUCAUAAGAUGGCCCAGCAGGUGGGUAGCCUGAAGUGUGUGGGAGUCGCAGGUGGUGUCAGAAGCAAGAAAGCUCAAAUUGACUUGGCGCUUCCAGCAUUCUCAUCCAGAUACUGAUUGGCCACUACUAUGCCUGCGGCACUGGAUGCUCCCAGCCUGUUCACAAGGCCUUUACUGUUGCAAGACUGCUUCAGAAGGCAGUGGGUAGGAAGCCCUUCCUUGCAUCCCACAAGCAAGAACCUGGCACAGAGGUCUGCUGGAUAUACACAAUUGCUGAAAGCUGUUAAAAGAACUGAUACAUAGCCCAUUUCAGUGGCUAUUACUUGGUCAUCUUUAACACUGAACAACUCUUGUUGGGCAGAAUGUAAUACAAAUGUUUUAAUUGGGUACAAUACUGGGCAUAACUUAAAAAAAUAAUUAUUAAACCAUAUCAAACUUGUGCCAGGAUGUGUGUCUCCUCUUGCCAGCGUUUACCUGGAUUGUCUGGCUGUUGGUGGAUUAAAGAGAUACGACUUGAACAAAGGGCAUAUCGAGCACUGUGGUCAGGAUGACGAAUUGCAGUAUGUGUUGCCACAUAAAUGAGUUCUGGAUUUGCUACUGAUGACAUAGUUUAGUGGAGGAGGUCUAAGGGAUGAUUGUGCUGAAUGCUCCCAAUCUCCACAAACACUGCCUUGGAAACACAUUAUCCUGUUAAAUCAUAAGCAUGGCAGGACUAGCUAGCCUGUUCUCACCAGAUCUUGGAGACUAAGCAGGAUUGGUCCUGGCUAGUACUUGAAUAGGGUGACCAAGGAAAUGCAAGGUUGCUAUGCAGAGGCAGGCAAGGGCAAACCACCUCUGUUCCUCUCCUGCUCCUCAAGCCAUUCGAGGUCCUCAAGUAUUUUAUUUUCCCUGCAAAUGUCUCCCCAAAAUUAUUAAUCUCCUGUGCCUUUGAUUUUUGAAGGUCUCAAUCUUACUUAUGUAGUAAUGCUUAAAAGUCUGUUCAGUCUCUGAAGACGCUUUGAAAUUCUCCUCCCCUUCCAGACAGCUUGUAUGUGAGAUCAAACAGCCCAACGCUUGUAAAAAUGCCUCGUUGUGCUUGGUAACUAAGAGAACAUGGUACUUCAAGCAGUCAGAGUAUAUAAACUGUAUAAUUUGUAGCAAUAUAUCUUGAUUGUUUGCAUGGUGAAACUGACUAAUGAGAAGAUUUACCUAAAGUGAACUCUCAAACUGCAAAAGAAAAACAACACACAUUUGUUCAUAUAUUAUU